rnacentral:RNase_MRP_RNA from 1 species
CGUUCGGAGCUUUACAUACGGACGCGCGGGGGCCGGAGAGGCCCGCGAUGCGUUGUGGACAGUGACCCGCAAGGGUCGUGCUCUGGGAGAAAGUCCCCGGACACUUGGGCAGAGAGUGCCAGCCGAUGAAGGCCGGACCCUUCUGAAACGCAGGGAGGCGCGUGAGCACCCGUGGCGCAAGCCGCGGGAAAGUUCCGCGCCCCGUCAUCGCCACUAUCGCGGAGAUCUGCGGAACGCGGGGCGCGCUGCGUGCCUGCGCACGCCCUGUGCGCCUGCGGUGAGCGACGGCGCUGCUUGAAGAUGCUCGUCAAUUGUGAAUGUGCAACAGUAAUCGAACGAGCGCACCGGACCGCUGUGACCUUCGUGACACCGCGUUCCCGCGCGGCCUCGCAUGUGCGAGACUCGUGCGCGUCGUGCGCCAACUCAAUGGGGAUUACUCUCGC